rfam:Triticum aestivum genome assembly, contig: Triticum_aestivum_CS42_TGACv1_scaffold_499569_6BL
UUAAUACUCCCUCCGUCUCAAAAUACUUGUCUUAGAUUUGUCUAAAUACGGAUGUAUCUAGUUACAUUUUAGUGUUAGAUACAUCCGUAUCUAGACAAAUGUAAGACAAGAAUUCUGGGAUGGAGAGAGUAUACA